UAGCGGAACUCCUACGGGAGGCAGCAGUGGGGAAUCUUAGACAAUGGGGGCAACCCUGAUCUAGCCAUGCCGCGUGAGUGAUGAAGGCCUUAGGGUUGUAAAGCUCUUUCAGCUGGGAAGAUAAUGACGGUACCAGCAGAAGAAGCCCCGGCUAACUCCGUGCCAGCAGCCGCGGUAAUACGGAGGGGGCUAGCGUUGUUCGGAAUUACUGGGCGUAAAGCGCACGUAGGCGGACCAGAAAGUUGGGGGUGAAAUCCCGGGGCUCAACCCCGGAACUGCCUUCAAAACUAUUGGUCUGGAGUUCGAGAGAGGUGAGUGGAAUACCGAGUGUAGAGGUGAAAUUCGUAGAUAUUCGGUGGAACACCAGUGGCGAAGGCGGCUCACUGGCUCGAUACUGACGCUGAGGUGCGAAAGCGUGGGGAGCAAACAGGAUUAGAAACCCUAGUAGUCCACUUAUG
rnacentral:rRNA from 1 species